rnacentral:rRNA from 1 species
CCUACGGGAGGCAGCAGUGGGGAAUAUUGGACAAUGGGCGAAAGCCUGAUCCAGCCAUGCCGCGUGUGUGAAGAAGGCCUUUUGGUUGUAAAGCACUUUAAGCGAGGAGGAGGCUACUUAGAUUAAUACUCUAGGAUAGUGGACGUUACUCGCAGAAUAAGCACCGGCUAACUCUGUGCCAGCAGCCGCGGUAAUA